AAAUAAGUAAGCUAAACUAAGCUUUUAGGCUCAUACCCUAAAUAUAGAUAUAAAUCCUUAAAUCUCUUAUUUA
rnacentral:tRNA from 1 species